rnacentral:lncRNA from 1 species
CAAUAUGAAACAUCCAUGUAAUAUUCUUAUCUUUUUAGGUGAUCCAUGUUAUGGAGUUUCCUGGUGUAAUAAUGGCCAUUGUGUUGUGCAGGGAUCCUCAUAUUACUGUCAAUGUCAUUCUUGCUGGGGUAACCAUCAUUAUCAAUCGUUAUGCACCUGUAAGUAUUUUAUGCAACGCUAGACUAUCGUAGAGGUGCUAUCAUGUUUUCUCGUCUGUGUGUUUGUCUGUAUAAUCCGCCUGUUAUAUUUAAAAUUUGGUUGAGGUAAAUGGGGUCUAAAUUAAAUAGAUUUUUUUAAGGUGGAUCGUCUGUAUAUAUACUAGUCAAGAAAAGAAACGAUAAAAGUCUUUUAUUUCGAAUUCAAGAUGAUUUUUUCAUUAUAUAUGACAAAUAUUAAAGGUGGUAAUACCGAAUGAUCACGGAACUAUAAAUCUGUUUACAAAAAAAAAAUAUUAUUUGCUUCCAUGACGUCAUUGGGUGAAAUAUUUUUGGGACAAAAUUUACCAAAAAACACAAUUUUAUAAACAUAAGUUCCAACUCAUGAUGCCAACCUCUCAUUUAAAGGGAAAGACAAGCUUGCCAUAAUUUUGUUUUUAAAAAUCAUACAGUUUCUUCGUUUAUUUGUAAAGCGAAAUUCGGACCCAUAAGAAAUCGGUAAAAUGUUUACAUUAUCAUUUCAUUUACCAUAUACACUAUAUAUAUGUAUAUGUAAAGUGAAAUUCAAAUACACGUAUCAAACUUAAAACUGAUAUGAAAGUUUCCAAAUUUACAGUGUGGUGUUUUCAUAUCUAAAGCAUUGAUUUGAGACCUAAACACAUUUAAAAAAAAAAAAAAAUUGAGAUUUCAAAAAAAAUAAUAAAAAAAAAAAAUUGAGAUAUCAAAAAAAAUAAAAAAAAAAAUAUUUCAACCCAUAAUUUACAACAUGAACACAACUUGAAUAGCAAUUGCAUAUUUUUCAACAAGUUUGAGUUUUUUUUUAGUACUUUGAAAAUUGUGUCGAUUUUAAACCAAUUUUCCGCAAAAAUAAUUUGAAUCCUGUGAUAAUUUUCGACAGGUUUUGAAAUUUCAUAAUCAUAUGCACAUACAUGGCAAAUGAAUAGUUUUUAAAAUAGUUCAUCUCAGUUUUGUUUUAUAUUAAAUUCUUAUUGAUCAAUUUGAUUCCAAAAUCGUGUAUCGUUUCUUUUGUUGACUAGUAUAGUAUAUUUUCUCAACAUUUUCUUAAACUUUGCCAAACAUAAGAUUUUACUAUGCUCUUUCAAAAAUAUAAUUAAAAGUAUGGGUCACCGUACUAUUUUGCAAGCUACCAGUCGUGCAAAGUUUCACAAAUUUGAAUAGAUGGUGUCACUGAACUUGUUUUCUUGCUACAAGUAAAACUUGAAAAUUUCAUUAUCAUUCCAGUAUUAAACUUUUACUAUAUCUCCCCUUAAAUGGCUACGUGGAAAAAUUGAUUCUAAAAACACAAAUAUUUGGUAUUUUGAAUAAUGCAAAUCACUUGUUUUCUUUAUACAAAUAAACAGUCUAACACAUCAAUUGCAAAUCUGUCUCAACAUUUGCAGAUUUAGGCAAAGAACUAGACCGAUUAUGUACUGCUAUUGUACAAUCUAAGAUGGCGGUAUACACUGAAUCUACCUUAAAAUUUGUCAAACUGUAGUAUAUAGUAUGCUUUUUUCAAAACAGUAAUAAAAAGAAUGGGUAACCGUGCUUUUUUCACGCUACAUGUUGUUCAUAAUUGCUGAGACUAGUAGUCUCAGAUAAUUGUCAGAUUUUAUAUAGAUUAUCCAAGGAAAACCUAACUUUGUGUGAUUCAUAGAAAUCUACAACAUAGAAUUUUAAGAAAGACUAUGAGAAGAUAGCUCUAAUAAUAUGCUUUCAUGUAAGGAAUAGAGAAAAGGGGGUCACUGGACUCAUUUUCUGACUACAUUAUAAAAAAGCUAAAUUAACAACACAUUCUAUUUAAAGGUUACUUUAUCUGAGUUGUCUCCCCUUACAUGGCAAGGUUGAAGAAAUGAAUCAAACAAAAACAUUCUGUUUUUUUGUUGUUGUAAAAUACAGCCGUAAAAUAUAAUAAAACACAUAUUUUUUUUUGAAAUUAACACGAAAGUCUUUUCGAAAUUUUCACUUUACCUCGAUCUCAUAUCAUGGAUCAGUGAACAAGGAUAGUUUUCAUGGCCAUGUCCAUAUCUCAGAUACUAUAAGCAAUAUGUUGACUAUAUAUGGUGUAAGGAAUGAUUGUAAGGUGUACAUGUCCAACUGGGGUGUCAUUUCGGAGCCUUUUAAAGCUUACUAUGCGGUAUGGGUUUUGCUCAUUGUUAAAGGCCAUACGGUGACAUAUAGUUCUUAAUGUCAUUUGGUCUCUGGUGAAGCAUUUUCUCAUUUGCAAUUAUGUCAUUUCUUCUUAUUUUUAUAUACCAGUUGUAUGCAGUAUUUUUGUCAUUCAUUUAAGGAUUGAAUGCUUCUUUUUGUAACUUCAUUGGGGUGUAAAAGCGUUGACCGAAGUACAUUUUGUUUCCGCGCUUCAUAUUAAAAAUGUGCGCACGGUCAACGCUUUUACAACCCUAUGAAGUUACAAAAAGAAGCAUUCAAUACUUAUAAUUACAUUUUUUCAGCAAUGAUCAUGAACACACGAAUUUUAUUAUUGUUUUAUUUAAUUCACCUGUGCAUUUUGUGGCACCACGUGUUAUCAUGAAUGAAGUUUUAUGGAGCAAUCCAAUUGCUUACGGAAUGACACGUGAUGUGCAGUAAGCCAAUCAGAAUAAAGUAGCAUAAUGAAACAUACAUCUAAUGUAAUUAUUAUAUUUUACAGACUAUAUGUGUAGAUAGGAUGUUGGAAUACUACGCAACAUUUCCGAAGAUCAAUGGACCCAAUCUGAAUUUGUUUUGGAUUAUUGUAACGUUUCUGUUUUGUACAUUGUAAUUACUUUAUACGUCCCUAACGACGCACUGAGAAUGCGCAAC